rnacentral:rRNA from 1 species
AUUGAACGCUGGCGGCAGGCCUAACACAUGCAAGUCGAACGAGUGGCGGACGGGUGAGUAAUGUCUGGGAACCUGCCCGAUGGAGGGGGAUAACUACUGGAAACGGUAGCUAAUACCGCAUACCAUCAGAUGUGCCCAGAGGGGGUUAGCUAGUAGGUGGGGUAAAGGCUCACCUAGGCGACGAUCCCUAGCUGGUCUGCGAGGAGGACCAGCCAAACUGGAACUGGGACACGGCCCAGACCCCUACGGGAGGCAGCAGUGGGGAAGAUUGGACAAUGGGCGCAAGCCGGAGGCAGCCAGGCCGCGGAGAUGAAGAAGGCCUUCGGGUUGUAAAGUACUUUCAGCGAGGAGGCGUUACUCGAAGAAGAAGCACCGGCUAACUCCGUGCCAGCAGCCGCGGUAAUAC